AAGAGGGACUGGAGCCAGAGAAGGAAGACACUAGAGAGAGGAUGAUUGGGGUGUGGGGUGGGAGGUGAGAACAAUGGUCAAGUAUCAGACGAGGGUUCCACUGACAAUAACAAAAAAAAAAACACAAAAAAACGGCCAGUUGGAGACCAUAAGGGCAAGAAUGAAAGGGUGCUACUGAAUGCUAUUGAAGAAAGUCACAUAAUCAUCUUGACUGAAUCCAUUACAAAUUUGCCAUCUAAUCUCAACUGUGACAUAAAUACUUGUCAAAAGGUUUAGAAGUCCAUCAUUGCAGCACUGGUAUCUCCCAGCAUGUCCAUGGCAACAACAUCCAUCAAUAUGGCAGUGGAAGCAAAUGUUUUGGAGGGAACCCACUGAAAAAGGACUGGCCAGUUUCACCAUUUCAGUGUCAGGCCAAUAUUGGAAGUUGAUAAGAG
rnacentral:lncRNA from 1 species